UAGGGAAUAUUGGACAAUGGGCGCAAGCCUGAUCCAGCCAUGCCGCGUAAGUGAAGAAGGCCCUCGGGUUGUAAAGCUCUUUUGUCCGGAAAGAAAAGCUUUGGGUUAAUACCCCGAAGUCCUGACGGUACCGGAAGAAUAAGCACCGGCUAACUUCGUGCCAGCAGCCGCGGUAAUACGAAGGGUGCAAGCGUUACUCGGAAUUACUGGGCGUAAAGCGUGCGUAGGUGGUUCGUUAAGUCUGAUGUGAAAGCCCUGGGCUCAACCUGGGAAUGGCAUUGGAUACUGGCGGGCUAGAGUGCGGUAGAGGGCAGUGGAAUUCCCGGUGUAGCAGUGAAAUGCGUAGAGAUCGGGAGGAACAUCUGUGGCGAAGGCGACUGCCUGGACCAGCACUGACACUGAGGCACGAAAGCGUGGGGAGCAAACAGG
rnacentral:rRNA from 1 species